rnacentral:lncRNA from 1 species
UGAGGACCACCCCCGCUACCCAACUUAACCUCCAAAUACACAUACCCUAAGGCGGAUGAACUAGAACAUAUAACAAGAUAGAGUUUAUUACCAUUCCAAACUCUGGAAUAGGUCUAUAACCAUGACGAACCCAAACAAGUCCAACCAUCCAUUACCAACCAACAACUAUAACCAACCCAAUAUAAAAACUAAGUUCCUGUCCAUAACUUAACAUAAAAGGAUGGAACAAUCAUAAAUUUAAUCCAAUAGUAUUAGCCCUAAUACCAAUGCCAAUACUAAGGCUGACAUCAAUACCGACACCACUCAUUUCAACCCAUAGUAGUUCCACAAAGCCUCUACCCGCUACCCAACUUAACCUCCAAAUACACAUACCCUAAGGCGGAUGAACUAGAACAUAUAACAAGAUAGAGUUUAUUACCAUUCCAAACUCUGGAAUAGGUCUAUAACCAUGACGAACCCAAACAAGUCCAACCAUCCAUUACCAACCAACAACUAUAACCAACCCAAUAUAAAAACUAAGUUCCUGUCCAUAACUUAAC